rnacentral:rRNA from 1 species
ACGUACGCUGGCGGCGUGCUUAACACAUGCAAGUCGAACGGAAAGGCCCUGCUUUUGUGGGGUGCUCGAGUGGCGAACGGGUGAGUAACACGUGAGUAACCUGCCCUUGACUUUGGGAUAACUUCAGGAAACUGGGGCUAAUACCGGAUAGGAGCUCCUGCUGCAUGGAGGGGGUUGGAAAGUUUCGGCGGUUGGGGAUGGACUCGCGGCUUAUCAGCUUGUUGGAGGGGUAGUGGCUUACCAAGGCUUUGACGGGUAGCCGGCCUGAGAGGGUGACCGGCCACAUUGGGACUGAGAUACGGCCCAGACUCCUACGGGAGGCAGCAGUGGCGAAUAUUGCACAAUGGGCGGAAGCCUGAUGCAGCAACGCCGCGUGCGGGAUGACGGCCUUCGGGUUGUAAACCGCUUUCGCCUGUGACGAAGCGUGAGUGACGGUAAUGGGUAAAGAAGCACCGGCUAACUACGUG